UAGGAACAAAAGUAGAAGAAUUCU
rnacentral:siRNA from 1 species